GCCUGAGGGAUAGCUCAGUUGGUACAGCACGAGACUCUUAAUCUCAAAGUUGUGGAUUGCGGGUUCAAGCCCCACCCUUGGCA